rnacentral:rRNA from 1 species
AUUGAACGCUGGCGGCAUGCCUUACACAUGCAAGUCGAACGGCAGCACGGGUGCUUGCACCUGGUGGCGAGUGGCGAACGGGUGAGUAAUACAUCGGAACAUGUCCUGUAGUGGGGGAUAGCCCGGCGAAAGCCGGAUUAAUACCGCAUACGAUCUACGGAUGAGAGCGGGGGACCUUCGGGCCUCGCGCUAUAGGGUUGGCCGAUGGCUGAUUAGCUAGUUGGUGGGGUAAAGGCCUACCAAGGCGACGAUCAGUAGCUGGUCUGAGAGGACGACCAGCCACACUGGGACUGAGACACGGCCCAGACUCCUACGGGAGGCAGCAGUGGGGAAUUUUGGACAAUGGGCGAAAGCCUGAUCCAGCAAUGCCGCGUGUGUGAAGAAGGCCUUCGGGUUGUAAAGCACUUUUGUCCGGAAAGAAAUCCUUGGCUCUAAUACAGUCGGGGGAUGACGGUACCGGAAGAAUAAGCACCGGCUAACUACGUG